rnacentral:lncRNA from 1 species
AUGCCAGGAAGCCAGUGUGAAGAGCUGCCCAGCUGGGGUCUAAAGGAGGAAGAAGCUCUGCAAAAGUGUCCGCCUGGACCAAUGCUGUCAAAGUCUGCCUUCGACAUCCGCAGCGCAUUUCCCUCACUAGAUGUGGGACUUAGCCCCAAGGUGAGAGUUAUUUCAAAGAACAGUAUGAUACCUCUGAGGUCCAGUGACAAUGCUGGGCUAGGGUGGGAGGUGGGAAACAAAAUAGAAAACAAAACAAAAAGUGAAGGCCAAAGACAACGGUGGGCUGGGACGAGACAAAAACAGGAAACAAAACAAAACACAACUGUGUGGUGGGAAAAAACGUGGUCGUCAAAGAAGUCCAUAUAUCUAUUUCUUUAAUAAACAUUUAUUUGUUAAGAGGCAAUGGAGAAAAUUAGUUAAUCCCUGGAUGUGUGGAUAUAUUACAUUAUGUUAUAUUACAAAAUGGAUUUUGUACUUUGUAGGUGUGAUUAAGUUGAGAAUCUUGAGAUGAGGAGAUCAUCCUGGGUUAUCUGGUGGACAAACUGUAGUCACAUAGAUUCUUUUUUGGUGAGGAAUACUGGCCCCAAGCUAACAUCUGUUGCCAAUCUUCCUAUUUUUGCUUGAGGAAGAUUGUCCCUGAGCUAACAUUUGUGCCAAUCUUCCUCUAUUUUGUAUGUGGGAUGCUGCCACAGCAUGGCUUGAUGAGCAGUAUGUAGGUCUGUGCCUGGGAGCUCAACCCACAAACCCUGGGCUGCCGAAGCGGAGCACAAGAAUUUAACCACUACGCCACUGGGCCAGCCAUCACAUGGAUUCUUAUAAAAGAAAGAGGGGAGCGGGAGAGUGAGAGACGAAGACUUGAUGACAGAAGCAGAGGUUGGAUUCAUGUAAUUGCUGUCUUUGAAAAGGUACAAAAACUACUAGCCAAAGAAUGUGGGCAGCCUUUAGAAGAUGGAAAAGGCAAGUAUUGGAUUCUCCCCUAGAGCCUGGAGGCUCUGGCUACAUUUUGAUUUUAGCCCAGUGAGACUUCUGACCUUCAGAACUAUAAAAUAAUAAAUCUGCAAUGUUUAAGCUACUACA